rnacentral:lncRNA from 1 species
UCUCCCUCUUCAAUCCUAUUAUUUACCAUACAAAUGUGACAAUGAGCUUUAAGAACUCGAGGAAAUACAGUUCUCUUUCGCUUAGAAUGUGCCACAAGCACAUGAGUUGGAUGUUUUGAAGGUGGUUGUGAAGAAGAACCUUCACCAUCAUCCGACAUCUUCCGUUUUUGUCCAUGUCCCAUUCUAGUACGUUGUACAUUUUCCUGUAAAUGAGCUAUAGAACCACGUACGGGAAGGUCAAUAGUAGGAGGUCUUGGAAAUGUAAAUGGCAUUGACAUAGAUUCCACAAUCCUCUGCAAUACAUCUUCUUUCUGUUGUGCUUCUUCAAUAUCACAAUCAUCCAUAGAUGAUAUCAUAUGUGACAUCAACUCUUCCACUUGCCGACAAAGAUCUCGUGCCCUCCUCUUGCACUCACUUCUUCUUUGAUCCUCAUGAGAACCACCCAUAUUUAAAUCAUUUUCUCGUAAAUGUGAUAAUGCAUCAUUGUUAGGAUAGUCUACAUUAUCCAUAGACUCUAUUCCAACUUCUGAAGAUUGUGAAGGAGAAAAAAAUUCCUUCACAAUAAGUUGAAGCCCUAGAAUAUGUUUGCAGGUUGAUUGUCGAGCAGGGCAAUUACAAUAAUGAGUGUUCAAAGAAACACUAUAUUUGAUGCUAGGAGAAGACUCACUUGUCAUGUAAAAUAACAUGUGCUCUGUAUUUACGACUUCCAAAAUUGCAUCUGGAUCUUCUUUGUAAGCUUUUAAUAUGCGCUCUCCUCCUUUCAAUCGCCGUCGAUGUUCUUUGUCAUUGCCUCUUCGUGAAAAUCUGCCUGAAUCACCUUUAUAUGAAUUUUUUUAUUAGUAAGAACCAUAACAAUAAUAACUAUGAUUUCAAAUAUUAUUUAAUAAAAAAAUCACCUAUAUAAUGUAAAAAUUGAAAUAAUUUUUUUUAUAUACUUACUUAUAAGUUGAACGGUUUGGAAAUGAUCCAUGAGGGUAGGCCCCCCAAUUCGACUUCCAUCAGCAGCGCUACCAACAAUUGCAACAAUAAGGUCUCGAAGAGAGCGAUUAACUUUUCCCUGAAGCAAAGUAUAUUUUAUCCACUCCCAAUGUCUCUCCACAUGAU